GAUGGCCACUGGUGGAUCAUCGGGGUCUACAGGCCACAAGACGACGAGGCCAAGCUCGAGUUCCUGGCCGAGUUGCACGAUAUGCGUGAGUCCCGCAUAGGCCCGUGGCUCCUUGGCGGUGAUUUCAACAUGAUCGUCUCGGCGGCCGAAAAGAGCAAUGCAAAUCUCAACCACCAUGUCAUGGGUUGAUUUCGACAUUUCAUUGCCAACGAGGAGCUCCGUGGCUUAUACAUGCACGACCGCCGCUAUACUUGGUCUAACGAGCGCGACAACCCGACCCUGGUCCGCAAUGACCGCAUCCUCUGCACCUCUGGAUGGGAGAUUGCUCACCCGCACUGCCUCCUUCAGUGCCUCCCUUUGACAGCCUCGGAUCACUGCCCGCUUCUAGUCAACUGUGUGGCGCGGCCACCAGGGGCUAGACGCUUCCAUUUCGAGCGAUUCUGGCCAAAUCUUGAGGGCUUGCAUGAUGUCGUCUCUGAGGCUUGGACAUCCGUUCUGCCUGACGUCAACCCUUUCAGAAGGAUCGUGACACGUCUCAAGGCUACGACACAUCGGCUCCAGCGCUAG
rnacentral:rRNA from 1 species